GUAUGUUGAGGUUGUUGUCCCCAACGCUCCUGCAGAGAUCAUCCAUUUGCAGAAGUCUCCUAGAAGGACCUGUAUGUAUCCAGGAUUUGAUGUGGGCUAUGCUUUGCUGUUUCAGCAAGGAGGAGCUCUUGGCUUUUGCAACAGAUGGGUUUUUACGGGCUUAGCCGCAUGAGAUUCAUCUCGCUAGAUUGGCAUUUGAUCACCGCAUUCGUAGAACGGUGGCAUCCAGAAACUCAUACAUUUCAUCUGCUGCCUGGUGAGUGCACUAUCACACUGGAGGAUGUCAACAUUCAAUUGGGUUUACCAAUUGAUGGUCUUUCAGUGACAGGUAGCACACAUCAGGACUGGCAUCAGGUAUGCUUUGAUUUGCUAGGUGUUGUCCCACCUGCUGAUAAACUCAAGGAUUACCGAUUGAAUCUUGCAUGGUAGGACAACAGUUUUUCGAGCUACCAUUAGAUGCAGACAUUAUAGCUAUACAGCAUUAUGCUAGGGCAUAUAUUUUGCAGCUGAUGGGGGAGGGUAUUUAUAUGCAGAUAAAUCAAAUAACAUGAUGCAUAUAAUAUGUUUGCCACUACUUGCCGAUUUUGUGGUUGCAGGAUACUACAGUUGGGGUAGUGCGAGCUUAGCAUGGUUGUAUAGAGAGCUUUGUAAGGCAAGUAGGAUAGAUGCAUUUGAUAUUGCGGGACCUUUGAUUUUACUCUAGGUAUGGGCCUGGGAUAGGUUUCCAUCUAUAGCUCCUCGUGGGUUACUUCAGCCUCCUAUAGAUUCUAUUAUGGAUUUGGCAGGUGGAGAUGCAUUACCAGCUGGUCCUCUAGUCAUGAGGUGGAGAGAUGCUUUUGAGGUGACGGAGGUUUUUAUCCAUGUUUUACUGAGUUAUCGACUUCAUCUUGAUCGACUCGGAUUUGAGCAGAUCGUAUGGCAGCCAUAUACUCCUCCGGUCCAAGCUGGUCUACCAAAUUAUUGUUUUAGUGGACAACAUAUAUGAUGGUGUCGGAUGACACUUCUAUGCUUUUUUAUCGUCGAGUGGCACUAUCCGGAUUGAGUGAUGCGCCAGUUCGGAUUACGAAAGACUAUUCUGGAGGUUUGUGAUACGGAUUCCAGACUUCAUCAUAUCGACCUUCGAGGGUGCGUCGAUCAUGACUGAAAAAGAAUUCAUCAGCAGUGGGUUGCAAUCUGGCA